CCUUGAUGAGUUUCCAUCCAUUUCUUCUUGUCCUGCAGCCCCUGAGAGUCUCAACAUCUUUUUUACAUUGUGGUGACCAAAACUGGAGGCAGAAGUCCAAGUGUGGCCUUACCACUCCUUAUUAGGAGUCCUGUGGGACACAGAAGAUCAACUGAAAUUGAGAAGGAGAGCUGAGUUCCAAAAGCUUCUCUGCCUCAGUCUAAAUGUGUGGAAAAAUGCCAUCCUGGAUUUGUCAAGCAGGCUCG